UGCCAUUAUCUUGGGUAGUUGAACUGUUAAGGCCCUUGUUCAUGUUGCUAGGAAACAAUUUGAAUCAAUUUGUGCUAAUAUUGUGUUCUCUUGUUGCAUUCUAACCAAAUGUCUAGGACUUUAACUGUGUUCUCUUGAAGAAAUUUAACUUUAAGUUCAUCAGUAGUUCAACCCACAUUGGUUAAGUUAAUUUUAUUAUCAUUGUUUUCUUUUUGGACUAAGUUAGCAUAUACUAAUGUCUGUUUUUGAAAUGGUUUCAGAGUGAUGUAAUGUAUAAACUUUGGUAGAAUUAGAAGAAUAUGAAUGAGUUGCUUCUUUACUUGAUGAGGAGAGGAAACUGCUUAAAAUUUGUAGAACCAGAAGAGUAUGCAAGAGCUACUUCUAAUUGAUGAGAAGGACAAAGCCUAUGUGUGAAGCUUUAAUUGUACUCAUUAUUUUAACUUUGAAAAAAUUUAGAGUGUUUCUAUAGUAUCACAUGUCAAUUGCAAUUGUCAUUACUUUUGUAAUGUUUCAUAUUUCAUGUAGAACUCAUGAUUUAAGAUU
rnacentral:lncRNA from 1 species